rnacentral:rRNA from 1 species
AGAAUCAACGCUGGCGGCGUGCCUAACACAUGCAAGUCGAACGAGAAAGUGGAGCAAUCCAUGAGUAAAGUGGCGACCGGGUGAGUAACACGUGACUAACCUACCUUCGAGUGGGGGAUAACCUCGGGAAACCGAGGCUAAUACCGCAGUAACAUCGUGAGAUCAAAGCAGUAAUGCGCUGGAAGAGGGGGUCGCGGCUGAUUAGCUAGUUGGCGGGGUAAUGGCCCACCAAGGCGAAGAUCGGUA